GGAAGCAGAGCAUAAAAGCUCAGAAAAUUUGCAGCCUGACAAUGCAAUAGAAAAGAAAAUCCCAUUUCCUGAUGAGAAAUUCAAGAUGGGUAUCCAAC